rnacentral:lncRNA from 1 species
AAAUUGUAAAUUAUCUAUAUCAAAAAAGAAAUCUUAGAAGUGUCUAUCAACAACUAAUGAGAUCAUAGAUAACUCCUUCACUGAGCUUUGAAUUUCAGUAUGUUCCUCUUUAUCUUGGUGGUGAACAAACAACACCCAUUCCCGGACCUCACUGAACCAUUUGUUCCCAAGUGUUGUCUGCGACAUGAUAUCAUGGCUUAUAAAUAACUCCACGUAAGCCUCUACCUGCACCAAUUCCCUUGUUGAUCCAUCUCUGCUCUGAGUCUCCUAAUCUUUCCAGAAUGAUGAAGGCACUCCUGAGCGCAUGCCUCCUCUUGGUCCUGCUUUCUCCAGGUAAGAUGGGGAACAUUUAAUUACCUUUAGAGGACACUGAAAAGAACUUGCAGCUUGGUAGAGAAGGGGAGUUAGAAGUGCAGAUCAACUCCCUAGAGAGCAAGGAGGGCAGGGUUACCAAGAGAAAGUAGCAGAGAAUUAAGUCAUGAAUAUUUCUUGUGUUGUCAUUAUGAUGGGCCCGCCGACUCUUUUUCCCCUGGCACCGUUGGGCCCGUCCUCUCACUUAAGUAUAGUGCACCCAACUCACCGAACACCAAUCCCACGGAUUUCCACAGUCUACCUCAGAUUAUCUUGUAGGGGAUUUGCGUGAAGUAAAAUUUAAUAAUUAGGAGUUUCGGGCAGGAUUUGCUCAAAUAAAGAAUAACAAUUUUAUUUAACAAGAAAGUUUAUGACACGAGUAGAUAAAACAGAAUACUUCAGUCUACAAUGUUAUUUCACUUCAAGGUUUUCUCAGUUGUUCACACUUAAUACUUUGGUUCUUAACAAGGUGGUACUUUCUGUCAGUUACACACCCCUAGACAACCCUGCUGUUGAGGCACUCCAAGGUUUCACUGGUUUGGGAGUCUUCUCUUACUAGAAGAAUCUCUCCCCUCCUGACUGGAAUAAGUAGACUGUCUCUUUACAGCUUCUACUUCUCCUGUCUCAACCUCAGCCCCCCAGUUAAUUCCUGGCCUAAAUGCUCUUACAGGACACCACACACUGUCCUUCACACUAAGCUCAGAGACUCCUUUCUCUAGCGUGUGAUAUUUUCCUCAGAGUGGAUGUUUCUGCCCAGAACCAACACUCACUCCCUAUCUUCCUACCUAUCCACCCAACCUCUCAAUCCCAACCUACUCCAAAACCUCCUCCCAACACUCCCUCCAAAACGCACUCCUUCUUUCUCUCCAUAUUCUCUCCUUUUCAACUCCCCCUCCUGGAACCUUGGCCAAUCAGAUGGUGCCAUACAUUAACCAUUUUCUGGCAUGGGAAAAAGAAAAAGGAAAUACUUGGGGACCCAACCUGCCCCA